rnacentral:lncRNA from 1 species
GUGGUGCAGCAAUCUUACUCUCAAACAUUUCUUCUGAUUCUCGCCGUUCAAAGUAUGAUCUUAAACACACGGGUUCACAAGACAAUUGUUACAAUUCAGUCCUACAAAAAGAAGAUGAAACAGACAAAAUCAGAGGCAUAGCACUUUCGAAAGACUUGAUGAGUUCAGCAGGUUUAGCACUUAAAGAAAACAUUACGACACUUGGAAAAUAUGUUUUGCCUUUACUAGAACAAUUAAAGUUUGCUACAUCUUUUGUUGUUAAAAAGUACAUAAACAAGAAUAUGAAGGUUUAUACACCUGAUUUUAAGUUGUGUUUUGAGCACUUUUGUAUUCAUACUGGUGGAAAAGCUGUUCAAGAUGAGAUGCAAAAAGUGCUUGGAUUAAGUGAUUGGCAAAUUGAGCCUUCAAGGAUGACACUUUAUAGAUUUGGUAAUACUUCAAGUAGUUCUGUUUGGUAUGCUUUGGCUUAUUGUGAAGCCAAGGGAAGAAUAAGAAAAGGUGACAGGAUUUGGCAAGUUGCAUUUGGUUCUGGAUUUAAGUGUAAUACUACUGUUUGGUGUGCAUUAAGGAAUGUUGAUCCAAUUAAGGAUAUUAAUCCUUGGAGUGAUGAGGUUCAUGAAUUUCCUGUUGAUGAUUGAAAUUGAAGUGGGGAUUUUGUAUAAUGUAAGUUGCAGUAUCUUAAUAUCUAUCUUUCUAUCAAUUUUUUUUAAUCAAAUAAAUGCUAAUAUAUAUAAACUAGAAUAUGUACAUCUGGGGGAUAUCUUUCUAUCGAAUCAAAUUUGUCCAACUUUGUAUGUUACAUCACAAUAUAAAUAAUGAAUAUAUAUGUAUGUGUGUUUAUCCCAUUACCAAUGAGCUCUUAGUUAUCCUAUUCUAAGGGUUAAAAAAAAAAAUUGAAUUGGCUAAAUGAAUAUGUAAGACUUUAAACCCGAGCAUAAGACAUACCAGGAUCGGCAAAUCUGCCUACAUCAGGCCCCAAGGGAAAUGCAUAAACCAUCCAUGCUUUGACAGCAAAACCACACAAAAACUAACUAAAAGCCAGGCUGAAAACAAAAACACCAGAGUGAAACAGAAAAGGAAGAGCUUGAUGGAGGAAACUUAGCAGGCCACACAAAAAAAGCAGCCCCAGCCCUACCUCUUGACCCAACAGAAGACCCUGCUGACCGCCUCUGCAGCUGCAGCGACCUGGCGGAAACAAUUGAAGCUACAGAAUCGUAAGACAAAAAAAUUGAAGAACAAUCUGCCUAGGCCGCUUGAGCCACAACUGCAAAUAUAGUUAACUAUUACUCUAUUAUCUACCUAAAUGUGUUAUCUUUAACCUGUCACUAAAGCAUUCAGCUCAGAACAAAUAAGAGGUUUCAUAAAGACAUAAGUUGCCAACAAAAUGUUACAAUUGAAGUAAUGGGGGUGAAGAAAUCAAUAUGAUAAAAAAUAUAUAUAUUUUAUUCAUUAAAUUGAUAAUAGAGAAAAAUCAACAACGGAGUCAUUUGAAUAGUAUAAAAUUCUAUAGUGUAAACAAACAAGUAUGUUGCAGAUUAUCACUAAGAUUGAUGAACAAGAACACCAAUAUUUUUGUGUGAAGAAAGAAAAUUCCCUUCAUCAUUGAUACCGGCAUAUUCAUCUUUGAAGUAUCGUUUUAUGGUUGUCUAGCUCUUGUUGAUCUUCUCACUUGCGAUUCUUGCUUGUAUAGAAUUGUGUACUAGGAUGGUUUUUGCCAUCUUAGAUUGAAUGUCAAGAACGAACGCCACAUCUCUGCUUUGAACAACCUUAUUCUUUGCAGGAACCCUCGAAACCCAAGUUCAUCUUUUUGGUGAACCAAAGUAUAUGCACUCUUUUGACUUAGUAUCAAGCUUUAAUCUUUCAUCUCUUGAAAUAUGUACUUUCUCAUAUAAUUUCAUGGAAUUCAAUAAUCUCCAAAUGACCUAUGGACUACCCACCAUUUUCAGUUCUCAAACAUUUCAGCUUGUUUCCAUAUGCUUAUUCAACAGAAGCAAGGAACACUUUGAAAACUUUAAGAACUUGAUCUUUUGUCUUCAAUGGAUACACUCUAUUAGAGAUAAGCUAGCCUAGUUAGUUAUAAGUAUAACUGACAGCUUUCAGUAUUAGUCUAGCAUGUAACCUGCUACUGCAGGUUACCUGAUUGCUACUAUAAAUGCAUCAAUUGUAAUAUUGAGAUCAAUCAAUGAAAGUCACAAAAGUUAGUUUACAAAUAGAAUUAUGAAUAGUGUAAGUAUAGCUUUCUAACAUGGUAUCAGAUUGCUAACACGACCUCCGGCCAUGGCGUCUUCAUCAGCGGUGUCGCCGCCGACUUCCGCUCCUGCAUCAACUACGUCGGUACCUGUAGCUUCGUCCGUCAAUGACGAUCUGCGUCGUCUCAAUUUCGCCCUCAAAAUCGCUCACAAGCUCGAUGAAAAGAACUUUCAUCUAUGGCGUCAACAAGUUGAGUCUUACAUCAACGCACGCAACCUCACUGAAUUCGUAGUAUGUGCGCAAAUUCCUCCGCAAUUCCUUAAUGAUGCGGACUGUAACUCCGGUACGAUCAACCCUGCGUAUUCGGUUUGGCUUCAGAAAGAUCAAAUGUUAUUGUCCCGGCUUCAAUCUACUCUAUCCAGCGAGAUUCGCAUCAGUUAUGGGAUCGCUUAUUCAACUAUUUCCAAAAACAAACUCGUGCUCGAGCUCGUCAGUUGAGAGUGGAGUUAUGCGCCAUUAUCCUGGAUAAAUCAUCAAUUCAAGACUAUCUAUCUCUUCAAGAUUCGCACUAUUAUUGACCCUAGCUUCGAUUGGUGAUUUUAUUCCUCCUUCACAUCACAUUGAUGUGAUUCUUGAAGGCUUACCUGAUGAUUAUGCAUCAAUUGUGUAUGUUGUUGAAAUCAAAUUUGGAGUUAUGGAUAUUGAUGAGGUUCAAAUCUUACAAGUUGCUCAUGAACCUUUAGUUCAAGAAACCUUUAGUUCCUGACCUAGCCUCUCUCAAUCUCACUCACAUUGUACCUUCUCAUCUACCUCAGGAUGAGGCUGCAACUGCUAGUUCAGAUUCCUCUCCUUCCCUAAUGGCAACACCUAACACUGACAAUGAUUAUCAAGCUCUUCGUGGUAGUUAUGGCAGAGGAAGAGGCCGACCUGGCAGAGGCAGAGAAGGUAGAUUCUCUAACUCUACCCUGCAAUGUCAAGUUUGCUCUAAAUUUGGUCAUUCUGCUUUACAAUGCUGGCAUGUUUUCAAUCAAAACUUUCAGUCUUCUUCAUUCAAUGGCAACAACUCAUUUGGUGCUCCUCAGCAACCUUGGCAUAAUUACUCUUAUGGCAACAAUGUUUGGAACAGACAAGACUUCUCUCAUGAGGCCUUCACCUCCCUUUCAAGCUCCUCCAAGCACCUUCAUUGCCAACACCUUGCCCUCUACUUCUACCUUCUGGUUUCCUGACUCAAGAGCCUCCUUUCAUGUGACUCGUGAAGCCAAAAACAUUCAGUAGGCCGCACCUUUUAAAGGUCCUGUCAAAUUUCCAUUGGCAAUGGCCAAGGUUUGCGUAUCUCCUCUAUUGGCUCUAGUUCUUUUCCUUUCCUAUUCACCCUCACACGCAACUUACACUUAACAAUCUUCUACUUGUACCUUCUAUAGCUAAAAAGCUAAUCAGUGUCAGUCAGUUUUCAAUGGAUAAUCAUGUUUAUUUUUCGUUUUCUGUUGAUAAGUGUCUUGUUAAAUCACAAAAACUGAUGUCACUCUUCUUGAAGGUCAUGUUGGAACUUAUGGGCUUUAUGAGUUUCCUUCUAUAGCAUUAUCUCCUCCUACAAAGUCUUCCACUAUAUCUAUGUCUGGUUUGCUUUUCAAUAACAAUGUGCCUAGUAUUAAUUCUACUUGUAUAGGAUCUAAGCUGUCUAGUGUGUGGCACCUUAGACUAGGUCAUCCUAGUUUGAAUUCCCUAAGACUUAUUCUAAAAACUUGUAAUAUUCCAUUUCGUUCUAAAGACAAUAAUAUAUUUUGUACUGCAUGUUGCAUGGGCAAAACUCACAUGUUACCGUUCGCUUCACACAUCACACACUCUACACCCUUAGAAUUAAUAUAUUGUGAUUUAGGGAGACCUUCUGUCGCACCUCGAAAAAAUGGGGAUACGACUUCAAAGCGAAGCGCGAUCGCACGCUCGCAAUGAUGGACUGAACAGAGUCGCCACCGAACUUUAUUUAUUCCUAAAAAGGAAAGGGGAAAUAAAUAUCGAUAAAACCAGACAAAUGAAAGGAUAAGAUAUGGUCAUCGCAACCAAUAUCAGGGUUCGGGAGUCGAUUACGCAAGGGGAAGGUAUUAGCACCCCUCACGUCCGUUGUACUCACGGAACCAUUAGGUCAGUUGUGUGCGUUAAUGUUAGUUUGAAAUGAUAGGCUUUUCAAAGUAUUGGUGGGAAAGAAGAAUAUAAGAGAGAAGAAAUGUUUUUGGUUUUUGACGAGGACUAAACCUAAGUUUUUUUAUAAUGGCCUGACAGAUUUACAAAUCCUGCUCCACCGUAUCUCAAAAGAGAAUCAAGGCUUACGUAGUUCUGGUAGAAAAUGUUUGUUUGUUGGUCGAUUUUAGCGAAGCUAUACUGUAUUAUCGACGAAAACAUUGUUUACCAAAACAGAUGAGAGUGGACGCAUACCACAACAUCGAACGAUUUAUAAAUCUACAUUCGGAAAAAGCGUCGUUUAUCUCUACUCAACAAUCGUGGCCGAAACAUUGCUUUGUAUCACUUAAGACAAUAUUCUUUCAUUAUGAAAAAGGUUUUUGAUUAAUCGCACGGCGCGAGAAAAAAGUUUGAUUGGUUUGGAUGUAUUUGAGUGAUGGCGAGAACUUGGAUGAGCGAGAUAUACAUCUCGAAUACUAGUCUCAGGAGUGCAUGGUAUACACCAUGUUCCAUUUCCAUCUUAUUGAAAAAGGUUAAGAUAGGAAUUAAGUAUUUGGAAUUUGAAAGACGAGUACUUGUGACUUACAAGCUCUUACAGCUGGGUCUAAUACUCGGGACUACGUCUGGACAUUCCACCAGACAGUCUGUUUCUUUCCAAUAUUGCUACGAAAAUGAUUCGGAUAUUUAUGAAUGUUUUGGAGGGAAGACGAAUAUUUAUGGCUUGCAAGCUCUUACAGCUUGAGCCUAAUAUUCGGGAUUACGACUGAUAUUCCCUCCAGGUAAUCUUUUUCUUCACAUUUUACUUGGAAAAUGUUUGAAUAUUUGUGUGUUAAAGAGAGACGAUAUUUUACGGCUUACAAGCUCUUACAAUUUGACCUAAUAUUCGGGAUUACGACUGGAUAUUCCUCCAGGUAAUCUUUUCUUCACGUUUAUUUAGAAACGAUUUGAAUAUUAGAGGGGUGGAAGUGAAGACGAUAUUUAUGACUGGCAGCUCUUACAGCUUGAGCCUAAUAUUCGGAUUACGACUGGACAUUCCAUCCAGGUAAUCUUUUUCUUCACGUUUUAUUUAGAAAAUGGUUAGAUACUCAGGGUAAUGGAAUGGACAAGUGAAUGCGAGCAUGCAAAAAGAAAAAGAGCUCAUUGUAGAAGGCCAAGAGUAAGCGACAGGACUGAAUGCCAACUGAAACCGAGAGCAACUGAAUUUAACUCCAAGCUAACUUGAGUGAUUUAUGUAUGAAUCACUCUAUAAGAAGUCGAGCAAACAUCUAUGCGUCCAGACAAUUUUUGGAAGUUAAAUUGAAUUGAACUCCGAAAUACGACGCAAUAAUACACCAAACAGCAGCAACCAAAGAUGUUAUUAUUACAGUAGUGUCACAAUUUUUUUACAUACACCAAAGUAAUCGAAAAAUAGAAAGCUACACGAACACAUGAUAUAAUGAAUUUGUAUUGCUUACAAAAUUGACAUAAAGCAAAAAUAAAAAAAAUCAAAAUAGUAUAGUAUAUAUAUAUAAUAUAUUAUAUAUAUAUAAUAUAUAUAUAUAAUAUAAAUAUAUAUAUAUAUAUAUAAUAUAUAUAUAUAUAUAUAUAUAUUAUAUAUAUAUAUAAUAUAUAUAUAUAUAUAUAUAUAUAAUAUAUAUAUAUAUAUAAUAUAAUAUAUAUAUAUAUAUAUAUAUAUAUAUANNNNNNNNNNNNNNNNNNNNNNNNNNNNNNNNNNNNNNNNNNNNNNNNNNNNNNNNNNNNNNNNNNNNNNNNNNNNNNNNNNNNNNNNNNNNNNNNNNNNNNNNNNNNNNNNNNNNNNNNNNNNNNNNNNGCAAGCUCUUACAGCUUGAGCCUAAUAUUCGGGAUUACGACUGGACAUUCCAUCCAGGUAACCUUUUUCUUCCAACUUUUAUUUAGAAAAUGAUUUUGAAUAUUAGAGGGUGGAAGUGAAGACGAAUAUUUAUGACUGGCAAGCUCUUACAGCUUGAGCCUAAUAUUCGGGAUUACGACUGGACAUUCCAUCCAGGUAAUCUUUUUCUUCGCGUUUUAUUUAGAAAAUGAUUUGAAUAUUAAAUUAAAACAAAUAAGGUACCGAGGUUUGAAAUUAUUGAAAGUUAAGUUCAUUGUAAGAAGGCCCAAGAGUAAGCCACAGGACUGAAUGCCAACUGAAACCGAGAGCAACUGAAUUUAGCUCCAAGCUAACUUAGAGUGGAUUUAUGUAUGAAUCACUCUAUAAGAAGUCGAGCAACAAUCUAUGCGUCCAGACAAUUUUCGGAAGUUAAAUUGAAUUUGAACUCCGAAAUUACGACGCAAUAAUACACCAAACAGCAGCAACCAAAGAUGUUAUUAUUACAGUAGUGUCACAAUUUUUUACAUACACUCAAAGUAAUCGAAAAAUAGAAAGCUAACACGACACAUGAUAUAAUGAAUUUGUAUUGCUACAAAAUUGACAUAAAGCAAAAAUAAAAUAAAUAUCAAAAUAGUAUAUAUAUAUAUAUAUAUAUAUAUAUAUAUGAAAAACUUAUAGCUACUGUGUAUAUAUACAGAAAAUUGAAAGUAACGUAUAUACAUUUAGAAAUUGAAAAAUUAAAAAAUUGAAACUAAAUAAAAAAUAUAUAUUUAUAUAUACUGGACCUAAAAACAUACAUGUUAUAAAAAUUGCAAACUAGAAAAGAAAGAUAUAUACAUUUAUAUAUACCAAACUUAAAAACACAUAUAUUAUAUAACUUAUUAACUAAUAUAUAUAUAUAUAUAUAUAUAUAUAUAACCAAAACUUGAAACUGAAACUUGAAAGUAGAAACAUAUAUAUGUUAUAUAACUUGAAACUGAAACUUAAUAUAUAUAUAACCAAAACCAGCAUGUACAUAUUAAAAUAAUACAGUGCAAAAUUAGUAUAUAUAGAAAAAUGAAAUGCAGCAAACAAUAUACAUAUAUGUAUAUACAUGAGAAUCAACACAGAAUAUGAGAAUUAAUACAGAAAGUAUCUACACGUAACAUAAACGAAAACGACAUACGUGAUGCAAUAUCACAUGAUUCAAAACAUAAAAUAACAGUAGCAACAUAUAUACAGCAGAAUUGAAAUAGAACACAUCUGAAAACAUAACAUCUUUCAAGUCAAAACAUUACCGGAUGCCAAGUGACAAUGUUGUGUGAUACCAGUGUGGAAUCCUUGAACCGUGACGGGAGGAUAUGCUCAUAUCGAGGUUGUUUGUGUGUGUUCGUCGCGAUGAAUCGAGAACAUAAACAUUGGUGAUGAGGGAGAUUCGAUUUUUGUUUGGUUCAGUGGCUUGUUGCUGUAGCGUUUGGAAGGGAGUAUGGUGUAGAUCAUAAACUCGUCGGUGGUAAGGGUGUUGCUAUGGUGAAAGAGAAAUUAGUAGUAGAGGUUAUGGAGGAUCUUACAUGAAAAAGGGAGCAACUUGUUAUGUUGGUGGUUCAUGAAAGUUUUUGUUGCUUUUUGUGAGAUGUAGUUUUAGGAAGAAGAUGGAGAUUUCGGGGUUGAACGAAGGAAGUGUGAUAAAGUUAGUGUUCAGUGAAGGAGAAUAGUGAAUGUUUAUGGUUCUUACAUGGAAGAAGAAUGUGGAGUUGGGAAGAUUUUUGUUUGUGAGUUUUUUAUGAACAUGAAGGUUAGUGUAUGGAUGAGGUGGAAGAGAGUGAGAGGUUUUUAGAGGUGAGUGAAAAGUUAUCGGUUUGGUUGUGUAGAAUUUUUUUGUAUAUAGAGUCUUUUUAAGAUCAUGUGUAUAUGCCUAGUGAGAGAAGGCGUGAAGAAGUGUGUAGAGGACAAGGUGAUGUAGCUACUACUACUAGAAAGAAAAGAAAAUAUUUUUUACGUGAGAGAGAAAAGAUACCAUAUUCAUGCUAACAUUGUUUUUUUCUCUUUUUUUCACUCUGACCAAAAACCAUAUUGAAAAAGGUUGUCUCAAUGAUACCUUAGUUUUUUUGUAAAUUAAUUUUGAACAUCCACAAAUGGCCUUGCAGAGCUUAAAAAAUGAGUUUUAAUUUUUGAGUCAAAAUAAAAUAAUAAGAAAAAGGUUUUUAAAUAAGAAAGAUAGAAUUAAAAUAAAAAAGUAAUUAAUUAUAUUUGUUUUUUUUUUAUGAACAUUUUGACUAAAAAAAUAAAUAAAAUGAUUCAAAAUAAAUAAAAAUCGGGCGCAAAAAUGCCCGGAAAAAUUAAACUGAAUGCACCAAAAUGAUCGACGCGAAAUAAACUUCUCGGAAACAUACAGGUUUUGAUCAUAUUUUGAAAUAGAAAAUGCCCGGUUAAACAGGCUCGAGCUGAUCAAAAAGUGGCCAAAAAAUUAGCUGAAAAAUAAAUCGAGCAUACCAGAUUAAACUACGCGAAACGUAGAUUAAUAAAAUUGAUGUCUAGAAGCUUGAUUUUUUUAAAAAUAAAAAUAAAAAUUCAUCCACUGAUUUGACGCACAUUCGUUGACUAAUUCAACCGGUUUGUCUGUAGAUCCGAAAAAAUUAUUUCGACUGAUAUUUUAGGCACUAUGCGGUAUGGAAUGCAUGGUAUGAACUGAUUUGACGCACAUUCGUUGACUAAUUCAACCGGUUUGUCUGUAGAUCCGAAAAAAUUAUUUCGACUGAUAUUUUAGGCACUAUGCGGUAUGGAAUGCAUGGUAUGCUAUGUAGACAUGCAAUAGCUAUGAUUAAUGUGUUGAAUCAGCGAUUCAGGGUCAAAAUUGGGGUAUGACACCUUCCCCUAAUUCAUCUACUCUGGGGUUCUCUUACUAUAUGUCAUUUGUGGAUGCAUACUCCAAAUUCACAUGGUUUUACUUGCUUAAAUAUAAAUCUAAAGCACUAAUCAUUUUUAAACAAUUCAAGUCUAUGGUUGAACUUCAACAUUGUUAUCCUAUUAAAGUUGUACAGUCUAAUUGGGGAGACAUUGUUAUCCUAUUAAAGUUGUACAGUCUGAUUGGGGAGGGGAGUUUAAACCCUUCACCAAAUUCUUAUCUAAUUUAGGUAUUGUCCAUAGAGUCAGUACGGAGCCCCCAAUCUAUCUCAGGUGUACUCUCAAAGCCUGGAUAUUGGACUUAUCACUAAAUAGCAUCAUGAAACCCAUCCUACAAUAGAGAAAUACAACAGAUAUAUCCAGGAUAUAAUAUAUGAAAGCAAUAAAGCAUGUGAUAAUAAUGAUAAUAAAACAAGUAAAAAUAGUAAAGAUAAACACUAAAACAAACAAGAAACAAACAAAACUAGGCUCGACUCCUACUUGCAAGAGCAAGGACUCCCCAGCAGAGUCGCCAACUGAUGGGGAUGCCCACCAGCUGAUAUCCCCAACAGAGUCGUCAGCUGAUGGGGGGUCCCACCCGUUGAUGUCCCAGUGUUUGCAUUGCUAUGUUGGUUUGAAGUGUUGGUAUUAAAAUGUGAUUGUUUGGUUCAAAUGCCAUGAGUCCAAGUAACUUAAAAUAUUACUGCAGUAGUUUCUUUCUUUUAUAUUUGCUGCACUGGUGAAGUUUGGAAAGAAUGCAUGUAUGUUAUGCUUGUUAAUGGCCUAUUUGUAGUUUGAAAUAAAGGACCUAUUGUGAACUGAAUGUUGAUGAGUUUUAGGAUGUAACACGUAGGCUUGUUGUUUGGUAAUUGCUCUAUUUGUGAUUCUGAUUAAAUCUUGUCGUUAACAUGUUAAUAUGCCUGCUAGUGCAUGAACUUUGUGGGAUAUCUUUGACAUUGCCAAAAACUCAGUCCAAAUGGUGUUGUUGUCAUGUACUCUGCCUUUUGGAAAAGUUCACAUAGUCAUGUCAACGAACUAAACUUGAAUUGCAUACUGCAUUGUGCUAGAUGAUGCCUUGGUGUACAUGUUGCUUCAUUAAAAUUUGGUUGAACACUUCAUGAAAUGAUGCUUUGGUGUAUUUGAAUGCAGGUUGUUUGUGAUGUGUAAGGUUGCCUUGACUUGGAGUUUUGGUCAUGAUUCAAGAAGGCUUGAAGUGAAGACUCGUGGUGAUAACUUAAAGAAACAAAGCUUGCUUGCUCAUGAAGAAAGGUUUGGCCAUGAAAUCAAGUGAAAUGAUGGAGAGAAAAAAUGAAGAAUUAAAGGACAAUAGGAUUAGGAAUAUGGAAAUUAGGUCAGUUGACUUUGGUCAACUAGUUGACCAAAAAGUCAACAAUUAACCAAAGUUAAUUAUGGGUCAAACUCUUAUUUUAUUUUUUUAUGAAACUCGGAAUUGGUAUUUGUAUGAAUAAAUGGACCUUUUGAAUGGAAACAUUUCCUUUUAAUUCAAAGAAACAUGCUUUGCUUUCAAAUUAGAACUUUGCCUCCAAAAUUCAUGUUUGAAUCAUAGCCUUAAAAUGAAUGAAUCAUGGACUUUGAAAUACUUGAACAAAUGAACUUUGAAUAAGAACUAUGAAAUUUGAACAAAUGGACUUUGAAUAAGAACUAUAAAACUUGAACAAAUAGAUUAUGAAUGCAUGAUGAAUCAUGAGCCAAUGAACUAGGAAUGCAUAAUGAAUCAUGAGCCAAUGAAUGCACUAUGAAGCAUGAAUCAAUGGACUGUGAUGCUUGAACAAAUGGACCAUGAAUGGACCAUAAACCUAGAAUCAAUGGACUUGAAUGGAAACUAGAAUGCAACAUGACUAAGACUUGAAUGAAAGCUUGCAUAAGACUUGAAUAACAUGACCUUGGAUCAAAUGAAUCAUCAAGCAAAUAAACAUAUGAUAGGUCAUGGUCAAUAGAUGAUAAAUCCUACGAUUGACUUCUGCUUGACCACAAUCAAGAAUGAUGUUUGACUCCAAAUAACAAUGGUAUGAUGCAUCCAUAAUGAUCAAGAACCAUAUUCCAAUGAAUUAAGGUUCCGCAGUUAACCACAAGCUCAGUAGACAAACCACAUUGUCCACAAAUGCCAAGCAUUCAUGAUUAGGAUUUGAAGAUGCAAACCACUUAAUCAAAGACCUCAAACCAAGUAAAAGACUCCACAAUCAAAUCCCAAUCAAAUGGUCCCCAUGAUUAGGGUUUCAUGAUCAAGUCCAAGUUCAUAAGGCAAACCACCUGAUCUAUGAGUACCAAAGAUCAAGAAUUAGGGUUUUAUGCAUAAGUGAAUACCAUGAUUGCAAUCUUCAUAAAUCAAGGUCUCAAGCACCAAGAAUUAGGAUUUCAUACCUUGAUUCCAAGUUAACUACACCACCACAAUCCCUAGGGUUUGAUCCUUGUGUAAAACUCUAGCUCUCGUUAGAUAUAAAUACCACAAACCUUAAAUCUAUGAUGUAUGUUGAUACAAUAGAUGCAUUGAAUGCAUUUGACAUGAAUGAGUACUGAUGAAUCUCACAUUAAAAGUCAGAUAAAAAGUAAAAAAGGGAAAGACAAAUUUUGGGGUAUGACACAUUUAUAAUGAAUAACAAUAAUAUUGUUAAUAGAAAUAAUAGAAUAAUUCAAUCCAGAUAUUGUACCUUUGCAAGUGAGACAAACAGCUAACUAAUGUUAUUUUUGGAGAUAGAGAAAACUAUUAAUCACUAAUAAUUUCUAACUUUAAAAAAAAUUAAAUAUGUUUUAGUCGUUUAAUUUUUAGUUUUUGUUAAAAAUUCCUUCAACUUUUCAUCUCUAUAUAAUUAUCCUGCAAAGUAUUUAUUUUAGUUGUUCAGAAGGUUUAAUAUUAAAAUAAUUUUUUAAAUAUAUUUAAAAAAUAUUAUAAAAGGUUUAUGUACAAAAAUAAAAUAAAAAAUUGAUUAAUAAUCAUAAAAAAAAUUAUUAAAAAAAAAUCUCAAACUCAACAUAUUAACUAACUAGUAACAACUAAACUGUGCAUGCUACUACUCUUUAAAUUGCGUAAGAUAUAUAUACUCUACACAUAAAAUAAUAUAUGAGUACUUUAAUCAAUAUUCAAAUUUUAUAACUCAUAAAUAAAAACAACUUACCUUGCUGAAGGAAAAACAAAAUACAAGGUUGCUUAUAUUUUAAGAAAUGAUAAUAACACACUUUUUAAUAUAAAUACUCAUACUUUCUUUUACGGAAUAAACUUCAUGUAAAUCCAACUAAAUUAUAUGGAGUCCAGCUAGAUAUUUGUUUUUGCAUAUGUGACAUAUUACAAAAGAGAUCCUCUAAUUUUUAUUUUCAAUUAGUUCAUUUUUACAACUCUAUAAAUAAGAAAGCUUUUAGACAGGAACCAUGGUGUAUCCAACAUCAUGAGCAUUUUCUCAAUGUCAUUCUUUUUCUUAGCUCAAUUCAAGUAUUUUUUCCUCUCCAUCAAUAGAGCCUUUCUAAAUAUCCAAAUAUUUUUCUCACCUUUACAAUGGUGUUUGUUAAUAGCAUCAAUAGCAACCUUUUACCUAAAGAAAUGCUCCAAAAAGAUAUAUCUAGUAGAUUUUGUUUGCUAUAAACCUUCCUCUAAAACCAUGUGUAGUAAGGAUUUGUUUAUAGAAAAAUCAAAAUGUGGAGGACAUUUUAAAGAUGAGAGCAUAGAUUUUCAAAAGAAAAUUAUGGAUAGGUCUGGAUUUGGUGAUAAGACUUAUGUGCCAGAAUCCUUAAUCGUAAUUCCACCAAGAAUUUGCACUAUGGAAGCAAUGAAAGAGACUGAAUCAGUGAUUUUUGGUGCUAUUGAUGAGCUUUUGUUGAAGACAAAAAUGAAGGUUAAAGAUAUUGAUAUUCUUAUAACAAAUUGUUGUAUUUUCAAUCCUUCACCUUCUCUAAGUGCUAUGGUUGUUAACCAUUACAAAUUUAAGGAUCGAAUUUUGUGCUAUAAUUUAAGUGGUAUGGGUUGUAGUGCUGGACUUGUAGCCAUCGACCUUGCCAAACAACUCCUACAGGUUAGAUAAUCUUUAUUUAAUUACUUUUGUUUUCUAUUUUAUCAUCACUCAUUUGUUUUGGCAAAUAGAUUUAUAUUUCAUCCUAAUUGCUAGCUGCAUUAAAUUAAUACAUGUGAUUUUACUGAAUAAAAAUGACAAAAUGCAAUGUUUUUAUGUUGCAACCAAAUUGAAAUCCAUUGUUAUGAUUACACUGGACAUAAUUUUCCACUUUCUCUCGUUGUUUUUUCCUUAACUUAUUGUGUACCCUUUAUUUUAUUGUAUUUUAUUUUUUCAUAUGCCUAGGUACAUCACAAUUCAUAUGCCUUAGUAGUGAGCACAGAAAAUAUCAACAGUGGAUGGUACUUAGGAAACAACAGAUCAAUGCUUGUUUCAAAUUGUCUAUUUCGUGUAGGUGGUGCAGCAAUCUUACUCUCAAGCAUUUCCUCUGAUUCUCACCGUUCAAAGUAUCAUCUUAAACACACUGUUUAUACACACAUCGGUUCACAAGACAGUUGCUACAAUUCAAUCUUUCAAAGAGAAGAUGAAACAAACAAAAUCACAGGAAUAUCACUUUCAAAAGACUUAAUGAGUUCAGCAGGUUUUGCACUUAAAGAAAACAUCACGACACUUGGAAAAUAUGUUUUACCUUUAUUAGAACAAUUAAAGUUUGCUACAACUUUUGUUGUUAAAAAGUACUUUAACAAGAAUAUGAAGAUUUAUACACCUGAUUUUAAGUUGUGUUUUGAGCAUUUUUGUAUUCAUACUGGUGGAAAAGCAGUUCAAGAUGAGAUGCAAAAAGUGCUUGGAUUAAGUGAUUGGCAAAUAGAGCCUUCUAGGAUGACACUUUAUAGAUAUGGUAAUACUUCAAGUAGUUCUGUUUGGUAUGUGUUAGCUUAUUGUGAAGCAAAGGGAAGAAUUCGAAAAGGUGAUAGGAUUUGGCAAAUUGCAUUUGGUUCUGGGUUUAAGUGUAAUACUGCAGUUUGGUAUGCAUUAAGGAAUGUUGAUCCAAUUAAGGAGAUUAAUCCUUGGAGUGAUGAGGUUCAUGAGUUUCCUGUUGAUGUUUCAAUUUGAAGUGGGGAUUUGCAAAGUAUAUCAAUAUGUUACUGGUACAGAAUUAAUGACUAAUAGGUUGUAGUAUGUAUGAAAGUAAAUUGUUUUAAGUAAAACUUUGUACAUACACUUCAAGCUUUUGUACAAAGAUUGUAAGGAUGAAUUCAAAUGAGAAUAACAAAACAAUAAUUGGAGGAUAAAAUUACUGCUAAAUAAAAAGAAUAGCCCUUAGAAAUUUAAGCUAAAACACAGGUAGUUUUGUUACCUAAAGAAGCAGAAGCAAAAUCAAAACAGAUGCAGUCAUUCUGUCAAAUUAACUCUAGUUAUAUAACUUUUUAAAAAAAGGAACCUACUAGUUUAAAAUAUUUACCUAAAGGACUCUCCUUGUAGCUAAUGUUUCAUUACACAUUAUGUAGAAUAACUAUAAAGUAUAAACAUUCUUGGCCACUUUUACUUUUCAACUUGCAAAAGAAUCUGAGUAAAUAAAACGUGUCCUUAUGUGCAACUAAACAUGUAUGUGUUUAUCCCCUUACCUAUGACUUCUUAACUAUCCUAUACUAAUGGUUAACUUUUUUUUUGAUUCGGCUUAAAUGAAUAUGUUAGAAAUGAGACUCUAAAUCCGAGCACAAGACAUACUCAGAUCGCAAAUCUACCUACAGCAGGCCCCUAGGGUAAUGCGGAAACAACCCAAGCUUUGACACUAAAAGCACACAAAAACAAUAAAAAGCCAUGCUGAAAAAACAAAACACGAGCAAAACAGCAAAACAGAAGCUUGAUGACGGAAACAAAGCAGGCCACACAAAAAACAGAAGCCACAGCACUGUCCCUAGACCCAACAGCAGACCCCGCUGCCAAUGAAGCACGAAUACAUUAAAAUCUCUGGCAAAUUGCACUAAUCAAUGACCAUGCUUCUAUCCAAAUCGUUAAUCUCAAGUUUUCUUAUAAUUUUUCUAAGUCUUUCUCUACCUCUAGAUGUUUGACUUCUCUUCAUCUGAUUUACUCUCCUUACCACAAAAUUUAUAGAUUUUCUCUCUACGCGCUCAAACCACCUAAAUUUAUUUUCCACCAUUUUUUCUUCUAUUGGUACUACCCCAGCACUCUCUCUAGUAUUAUCAUUCUUAAUUUUGUUUGUUUUAGUCUUACCACAUAUCCAACGCAAUAUCUUCAUAUUUGCUACACUUAUUUUAUUUUCGUGUUAAUUAUCUGCUACACUUAUUUUGAGCAGUACAUUUGUGCACUAAAAUAUAGAAGUACUAAAAUAUUUUUAUGUCAGCCUAGGACCAAAUAGACAUUGUAAAAAAAAUCAAUGAAUUCUUAUUUCCGACAUAAUCACUCAGAUCAACAAAGAUAACAAACAAGGCAAAUCUCAUAGCCAUAAAUGCUAAUAAUGAUUCAGGAAAAAGAAUAUUCUAAUCAAUGAGUAUUAAUAAACCUAUGAGACAAAAAGCUAAACAGUGAAGCACUAAAGGAAGCACAUGAGAGUAAAAGCUAAAGCAUUGAGAAGUAGAAACAGAAGGAAAGAACAAUUCUAUUGAACGACGUGAAUGAAUCUUACCUGAUUGAUUCUCCAUUGAUUUGUUACAAUCAGAGCAUAACUUGCAAGUGAGAAAACGGAAGCAACAUUUGGAACUACCUGCAAUUGACAAUGUAGAGAUAAAUUGUGUCAGAUGUGUGAGUGAGGGGGAAAACGGAGAAAAAGGAGGAGGGGAAUUUCGGAAUUAGGGUUUACAGUGUCGACGAGUCUGAAGAACAAUAGUCUCGAUGGUGCUUAAGGUACUUGGCGGAAUUGAUAGUGAAUACGAGUGAACGUGCGAUACAGAGAAGAAUGAAGAAUGGUGGGACGUCGUGGGGAGAGCGAAGAACGGUGGAGGUUCAGAGUUAGGGUUACGUGGGAGAGAAGGGUUGAGGUGUUCACAUCAGUAUGGAUUGAGGGAAAGGAUCAGGAGGGAGAAAUGAAAGGGGCAGUGUUUGCCGCUCUUUAUUUUAUAUUUGGA